GCCUGGGUGGCUCAGUCAGUUAAGCAUCUGACUUUGGCUCAGGCCAUGAUCUCCGUGAGUUCGAGCCCCAUGUCAGGCU
rnacentral:tRNA from 1 species